AAGGCUGUAGCUCAGUGGUAGAGCACUUGCUUAGCAUGCAAGAGGCUCUGGGUUCUAUCCCUAGCACCACUA
rnacentral:tRNA from 1 species